rnacentral:rRNA from 1 species
UACGAAGGGGGCUAGCGUUGUUCGGAAUCACUGGGCGUAAAGCGCACGCAGGCGGAUUGAUAAGUCAGGGGUGAAAUCCUGGAGCUCAACUCCAGAACUGCCUUUGAUACUGGGGAUCUCGAGUCCGGAAGAGGUGAGUGGAACUCCGAGUGUAGAGGUGAAAUUCGUAGAUAUUCGGAAGAACACCAGUGGCGAAGGCGGCUCACUGGCCCGGUACUGACACUGAGAUGCGGAAGCGUGGGGAGCAAACAGG